GACACUGAGGUUCGAAAGCGUGGGUAGCAAACAGGAUUAGAUACCCUGGUAGUCCACGCCGUAAACGAUGUCUACUAGUCGUUGGGUCCCUUGAGGACUUAGUGACGCAGCUAACGCAAUAAGUAGACCGCCUGGGGAGUACGGCCGCAAGGUUAAAACUCAAAUGAAUUGACGGGGGCCCGCACAAGCGGUGGAGCAUGUGGUUUAAUUCGAUGCAACGCGAAGAACCUUACCUGGUCUUGACAUACACAGAAUCUUGUAGAGAUACGAGAGUGCCUUCGGGAAUUGUGAUACAGGUGCUGCAUGGCUGUCGUCAGCUCGUGUCGUGAGAUGUUGGGUUAAGUCCCGCAACGAGCGCAACCCUUGUCCUUAGUUACCAGCGGGUUAAGCCGGGAACUCUAAGGAUACUGCCAGUGACAAACUGGAGGAAGGCGGGGACGACGUCAAGUCAUCAUGGCCCUUACGACCAGGGCUACACACGUGCUACAAUGGUAGGUACAGAGGGCAGCUACACAGCGAUGUGAUGCGAAUCUUUCAAAGCCUAUCGUAGUCCAGAUUGGAGUCUGCAACUCGACUCCAUGAAGUAGGAAUCGCUAGUAAUCGCGGAUCAGAAUGCCGCGGUGAAUACGUUCCCGGGCCUUGUACACACCGCCCGUCACACCAUGGGAGUUGAUUGCACCAGAAGUGGUUAGCC
rnacentral:rRNA from 1 species